GCCCCUGCUGCUGAGGAGCGACUUUUCUCUCAGUAUACGGCUUUUAUAACCUGGAGCAGAGCGAGGAUUCACCUGAAGGCUUCGGAGGAACCAAGUGGAGUCUGUUUGAAGAGGGUUUUAUUCUCCAGAGCACACUGAACUGUCACCGCCCUCUUCUUCUCCUUCACUGGGACUUGAAGAGCGAGUUCGCAGCUUGUUAGCUAAAACCAGCAGAGGCACUCGGGUGGAGUAUCAGGUGGCCUCCAGGUGAGCAGAAGGAAGCUGCUGCAGGGUGUGUGUGUGUGUGUGUGUGUGGUGUGUUUGGAGGCUGCAGCAGAGCAGAGAGGCUGAGGAGGAAGAUGUCCACUGAUGACGAGCCCACGUUCACCGUCAAGCUGCUGCAGCUGCUGCUGCUCUCCACCUACUGGGGGAUGCAGAUCUGGGUAACCUUCAUUUCAAGCUUUGUGAUGGACAACCAUCUGAACAGACACACGUACGGCUUCAUCCAGAGCCGCCUCGUCCCGUUCUACCUCCACCUGGGCUCAGCCUGCGCCUUCCUCAACCUCACCAUCUACGCUGUGUAUCAUCCCGCCGACCUGCUGGACGACAGAGAAGCUUUCCAGAUCUUCAUCUUCUUCGUGUCGGUGACGGUGGCGGCGGUCAACGCUCAAUGGUUCGGCCAGAUGACGUCAGAGAUCAUGGCCGACAUGCACCUGAUCGAGCAGGCGUGCGGGCUCGGCCAGGACAUCGGCCAGUCGUCCAACCGCGAGGCGUACGCCAAGCUGUGUGAGACGGACGUGAAGUACCGACACCUGAGCGGGCGGCUGUGGCUCUACCGGCUGCUCUCCUCGCUCUGUAACCUCUGCUGCAUCGGGUGCAACUUCUACAGCCUCUGCUACAUGGCCGAGAACCUCGGCACGCUCUAGACCCUCACAUCUCUACUCCCGUUUCUGUAUCAAUGCAAGAAGCCAAAGAAAGUCAGUGAGUCCUGCUGGUCCUGUUUGGGUGCUGUCUGAAUAUUCGCCGUUUCACAGCUUCCCCGUAUGACUGGUUACCUGCCUCAGCCCGACCUGUCUGUUCACUUCUGCUUUGUUUCUUUACUCCUCUGUGUUCGGAAUGUCCGUGUGAAUGUGUUCAAACAGCCGCGGGGAAAUUAUGCAGCCAUGAUUGGAAUUUAAGCCAACUCAUUUUUUGAGUUUUAUUGCACUUCUCAGGUUACCAGAGCUGUUUUUAGUCCAAGUUUAACCUUCUGAACCCCAACGAGAGUGGGUUUUGUUUAAAAGAGCGCCUCAAAAUACACGUUUAUUGUAGAAAGACAAUACUUCAAUAUGUGGAGAAAACUGUCAUUUUACAACAUUCAGGACACUUAUGGGCACUUGGAAAAGUGUUUAUAUAUAAAUUCCAUUUUAUUCCAAGUUUUAAAAAAUAAAUAAGCACAGAAAUUCAACUUGUCUUUCCUUUAUUUUUCUGAUUUCUGUCAUUCUAACUGCGUUAUUCUGCACAAAGACAUGUUUGAGUUGUUUCCACUUCUCGCCAUGAUUGUGGUGAUUCCAUAGAGCUGCAGGACUUAUAGAUUUAUAGAGAUUUUAUAUAUUACAGUGAAAUGAAAGGGCAGAGAGUAAAACUCCCUGAAAUAGCUCGUUGUUGGGGUUCAGAGGGUUAAAUAUCUUUGUGUGCAGAGAUCUUUGAUGGUUUUAUGAAACUCUUCUCUCUUGUGUUCUUCUACUUUGUGUUUGUCUGUUAAACCAAAGUGCCUUCAGAUUCAACAGCACCUCCAUAAUGAGGGAGCGGCAGCUGAGGACUGAAGUAAAAACACUUUUUUUUUUUUUUUUUUUUUCUUUGUUUAGACUGGACUGAUGACGGUGCUUAUUCAAUAAUAAAUGCCCAUAUCUCACAAAAACAAUGCAAUAUUACCUUUAAAUUGAUGUAAAAUCACAUUUGAGGGGAAAUCAUUUGACUGUUUUCUGCAAAAAGCUGCACUUCUUAAUUUUAGAAGAGCCAUUUUACCAAACAUCUGUGGAUAUUUGUUCCUAUUUCUUAUUUUUAAUGAAUUAAUGUGUUGUUGAUGUGUCUUAUGUAAUAGUGAAUAUAAGUCGCCUGAAAACCAGUGAGGUCAGAGGUCAUGAGCCUGAGGGCAGUGGGUUUGUAUCUACGAUGUUUUAAUGUGUUUGUAUUUGUAUUAAAACAUGUUCUCUUUGA